rnacentral:tRNA from 1 species
GCCGGGAUAGCUCAGUAGGU